GGUUUGUAGCUUGUAAUUCAUGUCCACUUGACAUUCCAACAAAAGUCUACUCACUAAUAUAGAUCUCAUAUAUAUAUAUAUAUAUACACACGCCUUAUAUCUCUUCCAAUCUUCUUUGCAUUAGAGAGAGAGAGAUAGAGAAGAGAGAAACAAACACUAAUAUGGGUAGUUGUUUUUCUAGCAGAUCAUCAUCAUCAUCUACAACAUUGUUGAAGACCAUUAGAGUGGUACACAUGAAUGGCCAUGUGGAGGAUUUUGAGCAUUCGGUGACCGUCGGUGAAGUCAUCGGCAAGCCACCAAGGCAUUUUGUGUGUACUCGAGCUCAACUUGUGUCCGGAGAACCCAAGCCACUCAAGCAAGAAACUCAACUCGAACUUGGCAAUGUUUACUUCAUGUUACCGUACUCAACUAUUCAGUCUGAUGUCUCUCCAGUAGACUUGGCCUCUAUUGCUAAAAAGCUCACCCAGAUUGCAAAAACUAGCCAACCCCAAUUGGCUAACAAGUCACCCCUAAGAAAUUUUCUUUCUUCUGGCUCGAGUCCGGUUUGGAGUUCACCGGCUACAAGUCCUAACCGGUUUUCUGGGUCCGUAAAGGCGCAGUCAUGGAAGCCGUUGUUGGACACCAUUAGAGAGAGGUCGUUUAAUCGAAGAAGCGAAUCGGAUUUACAAGAAACUCAAUCUUUUGGAGACUCUAAAAGAGAAUUUGAUUUAUAAGGUGCAAAGGAAAAGUUACAACAGCAAGAGAAGAGAGUUACUCCCUCUCAUACACCACACCUAACGUAUCAGCUACAAUCAACUGCCUCAUCUGGACAGGUGAGUCUUCAGUGACCACAAAGUUUUCAGAUUGUUCUACCCCUAUAUUAGCUACUGCAUUAGCACAUUGAUUUGUCUUUGGAGCAAAAAUCUUGAGUCUUUCAAUUUGUGCCUUGAAAGGAAAUUCACCUGGUGCACCUUUGAUCAGCAGGUCCACUGCUUUCUAGCAAUCUGUUUCUACUUGGAUCUCCCUCCACCCUUUCUCAAACAUGAUGGUCAACCCUCCAUAGCUUGGUUUGGGAGGCUUUUUGGCUUUUUUGGCUAUUUUAACCUAGGGCUAAAAAGUUUGAUUUGGGAAGAGAUUUUGGCUUUUUUGACUUUUUUGAUUUUUUUGUAAGAGAAAGAAUGUAAUGAUUAUAGAUUUGAUGUGAUUGUUUGCCUUAUUGGGCUAAAAAGCCUAUUUUGUUUUUUUGUGGCUAUUUUAGCCAAAAAAACCACAAAACCUUCUUCCCAAACAUAAGCUAUAUAUUCCCUA